rnacentral:rRNA from 1 species
UGGCGACCGGCGCACGGGUGAGUAACACGUAUCCAACCUGCCGANGACUCGGGGAUAGCCUUUCGAAAGAAAGAUUAAUACCCGAUGGCAUAGUUCUUCCGCAUGGUAGAACUAUUAAAGAAUUUCGGUCAUCGAUGGGGAUGCGUUCCAUUAGGUUGUUGGCGGGGUAACGGCCCACCAAGCCUUCGAUGGAUAGGGGUUCUGAGAGGAAGGUCCCCCACAUUGGAACUGAGACACGGUCCAAACUCCUACGGGAGGCAGCAUG